ensembl:lncRNA
UGCGGUUUAAUAAAUUUUUGUAGCAUCAUGCAAGUCUUGCUGUAUACCACAACACCAGCUGUUUUCAAUUAACUGCAUGAGAAGCCCAGUCAAAGUCAGUGCUUUCAUAGUGGUGUUCACAACAUUACGGGCAUUCUUGAAUGAUGGCUAUGAACCGUAGACGGCAAGGAAAGUUGGAGAUUACACGACCACAGACAGUGGCUUGUGGAGAUGCAGCUGGUUUAAACAGCAUAUAUCCAGUUGGGAGAACAGAUGAAGAUUUACAUUCAAGAAAGAUAUGGACAUCCGCAUUGUCACGUGAAGAACAUGUUGCAACUGCUGGAAGCCUUCAAAGAAUAGCUGGUCUUUCACAGGGGAGGCAGAGGCGCUUUCUGAUGAUGGCACCAGAAAUUCUGCAACUGACCGGACUGAUGACAAACUAUGCUUGCAGUCGACCCCAUGACUGGAGGAUAUAUAUGAGACAACGAGAUGCUCAAUUCAUUCUGAGUAGUUGUAGUAGUAUUUUUAGCUGA